CUAGCGUUGUUCGGAAUUACUGGGCGUAAAGCGCACGUAGGCGGCUUUGUAAGUUAGAGGUGAAAGCCCGGAGCUCAACUCCGGAAUUGCCUUUAAGACUGCAUCGCUAGAAUUGUGGAGAGGUGAGUGGAAUUCCGAGUGUAGAGGUGAAAUUCGUAGAUAUUCGGAAGAACACCAGUGGCGAAGGCGACUCACUGGACACAUAUUGACGCUGAGGUGCGAAAGCGUGGGGAGCAAACAGG
rnacentral:rRNA from 1 species